AGCCGUGACUACGAGGACUCUGUGGAGCAGCAGGGGAGGGGGCGUGUCCAGGAGGACACUCGCCGUCGCCAGGAGCAACUUUCGCCUCAACCCCUCCCGCCGACUCCCCACAGGCCCCUCCCACUCAACAGGCCACACCCUCGGCCGCAGCAGAACGCCAUGGACCAGCAGAGGGAGCUGGCGAGACGCCGCGAGCAGGAAAGGAGGAGGAGAGAGGUGGUAAUACUUUAUAGCAGUAAUACUACUAUAAUACUAACAUGUUAUACUAGUAUAGCAGGAGAGAGGUGGUAAUACUUUAUAGCAGUAAUACUACUAUAAUACUAACAUGUUAUACUAGUAUAGUAGGAGAGAGGCGGUAAUACUUUAUAGCAGUAAUACUACUAUAAUACUAACAUGUUAUACUAGUAUAGCAGGAGAGAGGCGGUAAUACUUUAUAGCAGUAAUACUACUAUAAUACUAACAUGUUAUACUAGUAUAGCAGGAGAGAGGUGGUAAUACUUUAUAGCAGUAAUACUACUAUAAUACUAACAUGUUAUACUAGUAUAGCAGGAGAGAGGUGGUAAUACUUUAUAGCAGUAAUACUACUAUAAUACUAACAUGUUAUACUAGUAUAGCAGGAGAGAGGUGGUAAUACUUUAUAGCAGUAAUACUACUAUAAUACUAACAUGUUAUACUAGUAUAGCAGGAGAGAGGCGGUAAUACUUUAUAGCAGUAAUACUACUAUAAUACUAACAUGUUAUACUAGUAUAGUAGGAGAGAG
rnacentral:lncRNA from 1 species